rnacentral:rRNA from 1 species
CAGGAUGAACGCUGCGGCGCGCCUAACACAUGCAAGUCGAACGGUUAAAGCACCUUCGGGUGUGUAUAAAGUGGCGAACGGCUGAGUAACACGUGGGCAACCUGCCCCUCGCACCGGGACAGCCUCGGGAAACCGUGGUUAAUACCGGAUACGCCCCCCUUGAGGACAUCCUCUCGGGGGGAAAAGCCCCCGACGGCGAGGGAUGGGCCCGCGGCCUGUUAGCUAGUUGGUGGGGUAACGGCCCACCAAGGCCAUUAUGGGUAGCUGGGUUGAGAGACCGACCAGCCAGAUUGGGACUGAGACACGGCCCAGACUCCUACGGGAGGCAGCAGUGGGGAAUCUUGCACAGUGGGCGAAAGCCUGAUGCAGCCGACGCCGCGUGCGGGAUGAAGGCCUUCGGGUUGUAAACCGCUUUCAGCAGGGACGAGGCCGCGAGGUGACGGUACCUGCAGAAGAAGCCCCGGCUAACUACGUGCCAGCAGCCGC